GGGGAGGGGCAGAGGGAAAAGCAGGGAGCCCGAUGCGGGGCUUGAUCCCAGGACUCCAGGAUCAUGACCUGAGCCGACGGCAGAUACUCAAUGACUGAGCCACCCAGGUGCUCCAAAAGCCUGUAAUUUCUGCGUGAAAGCUCCCAAGAGCUUUUUAAAAUAAAUCCAUCUUAUUCAAAUAUUUAGCCUGUAUAUAUUUAGGUGUGCAUCUGUUUUCCUCAGUUUGGUCUGAUACAUGCUUAAUACUUUGUUUGCAUAUAACAGAAUUGGACUUUUUGGUUCAUUUCUUUUUCUUGGUGAAUUUUGUCAAAUUACGUGUUUAUUGCUUUUUUUUUUUAUAAAGUCCUGGUUCUGUCCUGAAUCACGCCUAUAAUUCUAUAUUGAAUCUGUGGUUUUUGUCGGUUGCUGUUACUUUCAUUGGUUUUGUUUUCCAUUUGGAAUCAUACCACUUUCGUUGCUUUGUCCUUUCUGUCUGCAUUCUUAGAGAACCGUUCAGGUUGUCUUCUGUGUCAGUGAUUACAUUGUCCUCAGUAUUAAUUCUACUCUUCACCAACUCCAAAGGUGCAUUUACGACUUACUGCUACAUACUUACUGUCCUGGCAUUCAUAGAGGACCCAGCUCAUUUUUUUCAUAUGCUCCAUUGCUUUUUAAGCUUAGUUUGUAGCUUUUUAACCUCUUUUUUCAUAAGACUGUGUUUUCACCCAAGUCAAGGUUUUUCAAUAACAUUGAAGAAGUGAAACUCCACCCCCCCACUCUCGUUCUAGUUCCAAUGAGGGAUUUUCAUUCAUUCAGGGAUUUUCUCUGAAGUCUUUAGAAUGAAUUCUGCUUUUCUUUUUAUUGCUGUUUGUUUGUUUGUUGGUUUGUCUGUAGGCCUCAUUUUCUCCUGCUUGCAAUGUGAGGCUUACCCCAUCUUGGAGCUGACUGCAGAGAGGGUGACUGUUCUCAGCCCGAGCAUCUGUUUCCUUAUGUGCUACUCACAUCCUGCCCUUGGUUCAGCGGCUGGAUGGAAGACUGAUGGCCCAGUUUCUAGUCUAAUUCUUCAGGGCACAACUUUUUGGAUUUUGAUAUGA
rnacentral:lncRNA from 1 species